rnacentral:lncRNA from 1 species
ACUGUCGAUAAGCUACAGGUCUUCCAAUAUUUUUCCUUCUUCAUUGUUGGUAUUGGCAAUUGUUGAAAAAGAGUUGGAAAUUGAUGGUAAGGCUGGAUUGUCUGCUUGAGUUGGAUUUUUAUUUUUGGAUUUUGGAGUUGCUGCUUUGUUAGGCAUCAUCCAUUGUCCCUCUUUAGUUGUAUGUUGUGGAGUAUCAGUAGGUUGUUUAGCUACUGCAGCAGUAGAGACAGCAUCAGUGUCUGUACCUUGCCAAUAUACCGUAGCUGGUUCAAUCUGUACUAUCCAUUUAGGAUUGUUUGUAUCCUGUUUAUCAGCUGCUGUGGGGUUAUGCUGCUGUUUGCAUGAUUCUUUUGAGCUAUGCUGCUGAGCUAUACUC